rnacentral:rRNA from 1 species
CAGUCGCCACGGUAAUACGUAGGUGGCGAGCGUUGUCCGGAUUUAUUGGGCGUAAAGGGAGUGUAGGCGGUCUUUUAAGUCUGAUGUGAAAGCCCACGGCUCAACCGUGGAGGGUCAUUGGAAACUGGGAGACUUGAGUGCAGAAGAGGAGAGCGGAGUUCCAUGUGUAGCGGCGAAAUGCGUAGAUAUAUGGAGGAACACCAGUGGCGAAGGCGGCUCUCUGGUCUGUAACUGACGCUGAGGCUCGAAAGCGUGGGGAGCAAACAGGAUUAGAUACCCCCGUAGUCCCUGUCUCUUAUAC